ACCGUCCUUAUCUGGGGGUUGCGCGGCUGCUCGAUGAACGCGUGGUGAGGGCAGCACUGCUAACGCCUCAAACAACACGCUUGGCGUCCGCUUCGCGCGUGGCGCAAUUUUUGGAACC
rnacentral:ncRNA from 1 species